UACGUAGGUGGCAAGCGUUGUCCGGAUUUAUUGGGUUUAAAGGGUGCGUAGGUGGUUUGAUAAGUCAGUGGUGAAAGCCGGUUGCUCAACAAUCGAGUUGCCAUUGAUACUGUCGGACUUGAGAGAAGUGGAGGUUCAUGGAAUGGAUGGUGUAGCGGUGAAAUGCAUAGAUAUCAUCCAGAACGUCGAUUGCGAAGGCAGUGGGCUGUACUUUAUCUGACACUGAGGCACGAAAGUGUGGGGAUCAAACAGG
rnacentral:rRNA from 1 species